UACGGGGGGGGCAAGCGUUGUUCGGAAUUACUGGGCGUAAAGAGCGUGUAGGCGGCCAAGCAGGUCCGUUGUGAAAACUGGAGGCUUAACCUCCAGACGUCGACGGAAACCGCGUGGCUAGAGUCCGGAAGAGGAGAGUGGAAUUCCUGGUGUAGCGGUGAAAUGCGCAGAUAUCAGGAAGAACACCAAUGGCGAAGGCAGCUCUCUGGGACGGUACUGACGCUGAGACGCGAAAGCGUGGGGAGCGAACAGG
rnacentral:rRNA from 1 species